UACAGAGGUCUCAAGCGUUGUCCGGAUUUAUUGGGCGUAAAGAGCGUGUAGGCGGUUAGGUAGGUCCGUUGUGAAAACUCGAGGCUCAACCUCGAGACGCCGAUGGAAACCAUCUGACUAGAGUCCGGAAGAGGAGAGUGGAAUUCCUGGUGUAGCGGUGAAAUGCGCAGAUAUCAGGAAGAACACCCGUGGCUAAGGCGGCUCUCUAGUACGUGACUGACGCUGAGACGCGAAAGCGUGGGGAGCGAACAGG
rnacentral:rRNA from 1 species